rnacentral:tRNA from 1 species
GCGAGAGUGGCGGAAUAGGUAGACGCGAAGGUCUCAAACACCUUUGGCAUUGCCGUGUGGGUUCGAUUCCCAUCUCUCGCACCA